CUGUAUGUUACGUGUUACGUUUUGUGACUGUGAAUUUUUUACAUACGUAAAGACGCAAGGUUCCCACUUGCACUGGUUAGAUAGAGCGGGCUGCCUAGCCCACUUAGACCGAUUUCGGCCCGUUUUGUGGUACCGCUUGGAAUCUCCCCUUUUUUACAUCUUGAGAAAUAAUUUCAGCAGUUAACCCAUCCGGAUGCCCUUCAAAAAUUAUGGAUCUUUUUGGGACAUUUUGUAGACAUUGCUAAGAUUUCAGCAAUGAAGGGCGAGCCCAAGUGUUGUAGCCUUUUUCUGCUAAUAGCUGGACAGGAGCAAGUGUUCUACUGCGUCCACUUCUUCCUCGUCUCUAAAGCUACGGCAGAAAUCAGUGGUGAGAAGACUUCCGCUGAUGCUUGGUUGCUUGGUGAUCGUCAUUUUUUAUUGGGCCAGCCAACUGUUUGUGACUCCGUGGAGUCGUAUUUGUCUAACUGUUAUCAGAGAGUUUCUUGUCAACUAACAACCAUUUUUUACUAUCUUACUGGCUUCAUUCACAAAAUCCAAAUAUUAUUUCAUAGCACAUUCAUAAAAUAUUGGAGUUUCGCAGAAAGCGUUCUCGUCUCCACAGCAGUCUUACAACAUCUUCGACAUUCUCUGAUGAUACUGCCAUCCUAAGUCGCUACAAGGGCCCUACAAGAGCAACGGAACACUUAUCAUCUUAUCUCGUGGCCUUGGAAAAAUUACUAGCAGACUGGAGCAAAAGUACAAACACCUUUACCCUGAACAGACAAACUUUCGCACCAGUGUCUCUGAACAUCAAGAUUCCUCAGACAACCGAGGUAACAUACCUGGGUGUCCAUUUGGACUAAGGGCUCACAUUUGGCGUAAACACAUCCAAGCGAAGAGAAAUCUACUGAAAUUUUAAGCUACUAAUAUACAUUGGCUUAUAAGCGUUGGUACUUUUGACAAUGCAGCUCCCAAA